rnacentral:rRNA from 1 species
GGACGCAGUAGGAUAGGCGAAGCGUGCUGUUGGAGUGCACGUCCAAGCAGUAAGGCUGAGUGUUAGGCAAAUCCGGCACUCAUAAGGCUGAGCUGUGAUGGGGAGAGGAAAUUGUUUCCUCGAGUCGUUGAUUUCACACUGCCGAGAAAAGCCUCUAGAUAGAUAACAGGUGCCCGUACCGCAAACCGACACAGGUAGUCAAGAUGAGAAUUCUAAGGUGAGCGAGCGAACUCUCGUUAAGGAACUCGGCAAAAU